UGCAAGUCGAACGCUUCUUUUUCCACCGGAGCUUGCUCCACCGGAAAAAGAGGAGUGGCGAACGGGUGAGUAACACGUGGGUAACCUGCCCAUCAGAAGGGGAUAACACUUGGAAACAGGUGCUAAUACCGUAUAACAAUCGAAACCGCAUGGUUUUGAUUUGAAAGGCGCUUUCGGGUGUCGCUGAUGGAUGGACCCGCGGUGCAUUAGCUAGUUGGUGAGGUAACGGCUCACCAAGGCCACGAUGCAUAGCCGACCUGAGAGGGUGAUCGGCCACAUUGGGACUGAGACACGGCCCAAACUCCUACGGGAGGCAGCAGUAGGGAAUCUUCGGCAAUGGACGAAAGUCUGACCGAGCAACGCCGCGUGAGUGAAGAAGGUUUUCGGAUCGUAAAACUCUGUUGUUAGAGAAGAACAAGGAUGAGAGUAACUGUUCAUCCCUUGACGGUAUCUAACCAGAAAGCCACGGCUAACUACGUGCCAGCAGCCGCGGUAAUACGUAGGUGGCAAGCGUUGUCCGGAUUUAUUGGGCGUAAAGCGAGCGCAGGCGGUUUCUUAAGUCUGAUGUGAAAGCCCCCGGCUCAACCGGGGAGGGUCAUUGGAAACUGGGAGACUUGAGUGCAGAAGAGGAGAGUGGAAUUCCAUGUGUAGCGGUGAAAUGCGUAGAUAUAUGGAGGAACACCAGUGGCGAAGGCGGCUCUCUGGUCUGUAACUGACGCUGAGGCUCGAAAGCGUGUGGAGCAAACAGGAUUAGAUACCCUGGUAGUCCACGCCGUAGACGAUGAGUGCUAAGUGUUGGAGGGUUUCCGCCCUUCAUUGCUGCAGCUAACGCAUUAAGCACUCCGCCUGGGCGAGUACGACCG
rnacentral:rRNA from 1 species